UACAAACAUGAGGCUGCUACUGGAAAAGGUUUCUCUGGUCUGAAAGUAUAAGGACCAGCAUUUCACUUUGACUGAAAUCUUCUGAAACUUGGGACUCUCACGGCUUCAAAAGAAAUGGCAUGCAGCCACGGCAAAGCAAUAAAGCAAAUUAGAAAUCCAGCUGGAAGUAUUAAAGUCAGCUUCCUGAG